GACGAACGCUGGCGGCGUGCCUAAUACAUGCAAGUAGAACGCUGAAGGAGGAGCUUGCUUCUCUGGAUGAGUUGCGAACGGGUGAGUAACGCGUAGGUAACCUGCCUGGUAGCGGGGGAUAACUAUUGGAAACGAUAGCUAAUACCGCAUAAGAGUAGAUGUUGCAUGACAUUUGCUUAAAAGGUGCAAUUGCAUCACUACCAGAUGGACCUGCGUUGUAUUAGCUAGUUGGUGGGGUAACGGCUUACCAAGGCGACGAUACAUAGCCGACCUGAGAGGGGGAUCGGCCACACUGGGACUGAGACGCGGCCCAGACUCCUACGGGAGGCAGCAGUAGGGAAUCUUCGGCAAUGGACGGAAGUCUGACCGAGCAACGCCGCGUGAGUGAAGAAGGUUUUCGGAUCGUAAAGCUCUGUUGUAAGAGAAGAACGAGUGUGAGAGUGGAAAGUUCACACUGUGACGGUAUCUUACCAGAAAGGGACGGCUAACUACGUG
rnacentral:rRNA from 1 species